rnacentral:lncRNA from 1 species
UCUACGCCUCCUACAACAACAUCUCGGACACUGAGCCCGCUGUGCCUGCUGGAGCAAUUGGAGGUGCUGGACCUGGAGGGUGACCCCGUGGAGGACCUGGGGUAGGUGCGCUACUUGCUUCUGUGCCCACGCCUGGCCAUGCUCACCCUGGAGGGCAACCUGGUGUGCCUACAGCCGGCCCCUGGCCCCACCAACAAGGUGCCCAGGGGCUACAACUACAGGGCAGAGGUGAGGAAGCUCAUCCCCCAGCUGCAGGUCCUGGACGAAGUGCCGGCCACACACACGGGCCCACCGGCCCCCCCGCGGCUGAGCCAGGACUGGCUUGCAGUGAAGGAGGCCAUCAAGAAGGGCAACGGCCUUCCCCCGCUGGGUACGGCAGCUGCGCCCGGAGGACCCGCUGCUGAGCCCCAGCUCCCCCCAGGAAGAGGCCCCCACCCCAGGCCUCUCAGAAACGGAUAGCCACAUCUCAUGCGCUUCUCCAGCCUUGACCCCGGUCCCCAGAGCUGUG